rnacentral:rRNA from 1 species
AGUCAAUAGAUACCCAGGUAGUCCUAGCCGUAAACGAUACUCGCUAGGUGUCGGCCACGGUGCGACCGUUGUCGGUGCCGUAGGGAAAGCCGUGAAGCGAGCCACCUGGGAAGUACGGCCGCAAGGCUGAAACCUUAAAGGAAUUGGCGGGGGUAGCACCACAACGGGUGGAGCUUGCGGUUUAAAUUGGAUUCAACGCCGGAAAUCUUACCGGGACCGACAGCAACAUGAAGGCCAGGCUGAAGACUUUGCCGGAUUAGCUGAGAGGUGGUGCAUGGCCGUCGUCAGUUCGUACUGUGAAGCAUCCUGUUAACGUCAGGCAACGAGCGAGACCCACGCCCACAGUUGCCAGCGUACUCUCC